AUGACCGCUGGAAACUAAAAUUAUUUACGGGUUUUUAAAAUUAAAAACGAUUUAUUCCAAUUAGCUGUGUAGUAGACACGGCCGCGGUCCACGGAAAACUAGAAAGUCAAUUUUUCCCCCGCGCGGCACAAAUUUUACACUGGCGCGCGGUCCGUUGGGUAAGUAGUUCGACUAUAUUGCGUUAGGUACCUGUAAAGUACACGCGUUCACUCGUCUGUGUAUAAAAUAAUAUGUUUAUAUAGUGUUAAUCAUUUUAUGUGCGGGCUACCAGCUCAACUCGUAAUAGUUUUUUUUUACCUCUCCUAAUAAAACAGGAUAUAAUCUGGUCGAAUGAUUCUGUAGUUAGCUAUGACGGCUGCAGCCUGGCGGUAGCGGUUUCCUAGUUUUUCGAUAAUAAUUUCUAUUUUUAUAAUUUAAAAAUACGGAUUAUAAUACAUAUAUAUUUUACAUUAAUCAUCCCGUCACAAUACAUUGCGGGUACCAACGCGUUCUGUGUCGUUGCGUAUCAAAUUUUUUUAGCCUUCUGAACACGACGAUCAAGGGCGGCGAUGCCUAGUCUCUUCGUAUCUGCGGUACCCACCAGUAUACUAUUAUAUUAUAUCGUUACGAUUUAAUUUCGUACAUUUAACACAGUUUACGGAAUUUCGAUUUUACUAUUUUUAAGUCAAUGUCACCGUGUGAUUUGCUGAUGUCGCUCGACUGUAAAAGUAUUAUGUAUACGUAUAAAAUAUAUACAGGCCGGGUAAUCGCUGCAGUAUCGUGCUGAACAUUUUUCAGACCCGAGGCAAACUAAAAUAUAUUACCAAUUUGACUACAAAAUUAAUCAGAAUCAAUCUUUUAUUAUAAUUUUUUUUUUUAGAUUCUGAGCAGAUCGGGAAAGUUAUUAGUUUUAAAUAUUUUUUGUAGAAGAUGUGUUCUUUUCUUCAAAAAAUAUGUUUUUGGUUAUUAAAUAUGUUUCAAAACUUAUGUGGAUUUUUCGGUCUGGCGGUAAUUUUUAAAAAUAUUUGUCUAAAUUCCAAACAGUUAUUAUAAAAGAACUUUCGAUUGCGAAGGAUGUUUUUUAAUUUUUUUACUUAAAAUAGUAGAUAUUAUUAGGCACAUUUUACCUGUAUAUUUGUGGGGUACUUAUACGUGACCAUAUUCCUUGCGUGCAGCGGCGUAACCAUUAAUUACCGCGGGAAAACCACGCAGAGUAAUUUUUAAAUAUUAUAUUUAAUACGAGUUGUACCUGCAGUGAAGUGGCGUGUCUCAGACUUUACGAUGGGAGGGGUAUAGUAAAUAAUAAUCAUACAAAAUCGUAGAAUCUUCUUCUUUAUCUAACUUGAUUAUGGAAUUUUGAAAGUCGAAUUCAAAAAGGCAAAUUUGUAACCAAUAAAUCAAAUGUUUCGAUGUAAUUCGACCGAAAAUCUGAAAUAUGUUCAUUUUAAGAUUAAAUAACUAAAUAAAUGCCCAUAGUAGUUGUAUUUUCAAGCAAAUCGGGGGAUAUAAUCCUUUAUCUACCCCCUGCACAUCACGCAACUGUGUGCCUGUACGAUGAUGUGCAGGUGAUACUGUGGUAGUCUUUCAAAUAGACGAAUUUCGGGGAUCCCGUUAACAAAAUGUGUGUAUCUAUCUAUUAUAAGUAUAUAAGUACCCAGUUUUUAUAAAACUUUGUAGACUAGACAUGCACAAUCGAAAUGGUGUUUGUUAUGCGUCCGACAUUUUUUCUAAAUAGUCUGCAAGACGGUGGCGGCAUAUUGCGGCUCAUCGU
rnacentral:lncRNA from 1 species